UUCUAGUGAUUGGAUUUCACUCAAAACCCACCAAAUGACUCCUCCCACAAUAUUAUGAUGUUCCCCAAGUUUUGGACUCAAUCCGAUAUCGAUUGGUCCUUGAAAUCGGACAAUUCAGGUUCCUACGAAGUUCGUUCUGAAAUGGGGUGGUUGGUGUAUUGUAUAGUUCUAGAGAUUGGAUUUCACUCAAAACCCACCAAAUGACUCCUCCCACAAUAUUAUGAUGUUCCCCAAGUUUUGGACUCAGUCCGAUAUCGAUUGGUCCUUAAAAUCGGACAAUUCAGGUUCCUACGAAGUUCGCCCUGAAAUGGGGUGGUUGGGGUAUUGUAUAGUUCUAGAGAUUGGAUUUCACUCCAAACCCACCAAAUGACUCCUCCCACAAUAUUAUGAUGUUCCCCAAGUGUUGGGACUCAAUCCGAUAUCGAUUGGUCAAAUGAAAUUUGACAAUUCAGGUUCGUACGAAGUUCGGUUCUGAAAUGGGGGUUGGUUAGUGUAUUGUAUAAUUCUAGAGAGUAGAUUUCACUCAAAACCCAUCAAAUGACUCCUCCCACAAUAUUAUGAUGUUCCCCAAGUUUUGGACUCAAUCCGAUAUCGAUCGGUCCUCAAAAUCGGACAAUUCAGGUUCCCACGAAGUUCGUUCUUAAAUGGGGUGGUUGGUGUAUUGUAUAGUUCUGGAGAUUGGAUUUCACUCAAAACCCACCAAAUGACUCCUCCCACAAUAUUAUGAUGUUCCCCAAGUGUUGGACUCAAUCCGAUAUCGAUCGGUCCACGAAAUUUGACAAUUCAGGAUCGUACGAAGUUCGUUCUGAAAUGGAGUGGUUGGUGUAUUGUAUAGUUCUAGGGAUUGUAUUUCACUCAAAACAUACCAAAUGACUCCUCCCACAAUAUUAUGAUGUUCCCCAACUUUUGGACACAAUCCGAUAUAUAUUGGUCCUUGAAAUCGGACAAAUCAGGUUCGUACGAAGUUCGUUCUGAAAUGGGGUGGUUGGUGUAUUGUAUAGUUCUAGAGAGUGGAUUUCACUCAAAACCCGCCAAACGACUCCCCCCGGAAUAUUAUGAUGUUCCCCAACUUUUGGACUCAAUCCGAUAUCGAUUGGUCCUUGAAAUCGGACAAUUCAGGUUCGUACGAAGUUCGUUCUGAAAUGGGGUGGUUGGUGUUUUGUAUAGUUCUACAGAUUGGAUUUCACUCAAAACCCGCCAAAUGACUCCUCCCGGAAUAUUAUGAUGUUCCCGAACUUUUGGACUCAAUCCGAUAUCGAUUGGUCCUUGAAAUCGAACAAUUCAGGUUCGUACGAAGUUCGUUCUAAAAUGGGGUGGUUGGUGUAUUGUAUAGUUCUAGAGAUUGAAUUUCACUAAAAACCCACCAAAUGACAACUCCCACAAUAUUAUGAUGUUCCAUAAGUUUUGGAUUCAAUCCGAUAUCGAUCGGUCCACAAAAUCUGACAAUUCAGGUUCGUACGAAGUUCGUUCUGAAAUGGAGUGGUUGGCGUAUUGUAUAGUUCUAGGGAUUUCAUUUCACUCAAAACCCACCAAAUGCCUCCUCCCACAAUAUUUUAUUGUUCCCCAAGUUUUGGACUCAAUCCAAUAUCGAUUGGGCAAUGAAAUCGAACAAUCAGGUCGUACGAAGUUCGUUCUAAAAUGGGGUGGUUGGUGUAUUGUAUAGUUCUAGAGAUUGGAUUUCACUAAAAACCCACCAAAUGACUCCUCCCACAAUAUUAUGAUGUUGCCCAAGUUUUGGACUCAAUCCGAUAUCGAUCGGUCCACGAAAUUUGACAAUUCAGGAUCGUACGAAGUUCGUUCUGAAAUGGGGUGGUUGUUGUAUUGUAUAAUUCUGGAGAUUGGAUUUCACUCAAAACCCACCAAAUGACUCCUCCCACAAUAUUAUGAUGUUCCCCAAGUUUUGGACUCAAUCCGAUAUCGAUUGGUCCUCAAAAUCGGACAAUUCAGGUUCCUACGAAGUUCGUUCUGAAAUGGGGUGGUUUGUGUAUUGUAUAGUUCUGGGGAUUGGAUUUCACUCAAAACCCACCAAAUGACUCCUCCCACAAUAUUAUGAUGUUCCCCAAGUUUUGGACUCAAUCCGAUAUCGAUUGGUCCUCAAAAUCGGACAAUUCAGGUUCCUACGAAGUUCGUUCUGAAAUGGGGUGGUUGGUGUAUUGUAUAGUUCUGGAGAUUGGAUUUCACUCAAAACCCACCAAAUGACUCCUCCCACAAUAUUAUGAUGUUCCCCACGUUUUGGACUCAAUCCGAUAUCGAUCGGUCCACGAAAUUUGACAAUUCAAGAUCGUACGAAGUUCGUUCUGAAAUAGAGUGAUUGGUGUAUUGUAUAGUUCUACGGAUUGUAUUUCACUCAAAACAUACCAAAUGACUCCUCCCACAAUAUUAUGAUGUUCCCCAACUUUUGGACUCAAUCCGAUAUCGAUUGGUCCUUGAAAUCGGACAAUUCAGGUUCGUACGAAGUUCAUUCUGAAAUGGGGUGGUUGGUGUAUUGUAUAGUUCUAGAGAGUGGAUUUCACUCAAAACCCGCCAAUUGACUUCUCCCGGAAUAUUAUGAUGUGCCCCAAGUUUUGGACUCAAUCCGAUAUCGAUUGGUCCUUGAAAUCUGACAAUUCAGGUUCGUACGAAGUUCGUUCUGAAAUGGGGUGGUUGGUGUUUUGUAUAGUUCUAGAGAUUGGAUUUCACUCAAAACUGCCAAUUGACUCCUCCCGGGAAUAUUAUGAUGCUCCCCAACUUUUGGACUUAAUCCGAUAUCGAUUGGUCCUGAAAUCGGACAAUUCAGGUUCCUACGAAGUUCGUUCUGAAAUGGGGUGGUUGGUCUAUUGUAUAGUUCUAGAGAUUGGAUUUCACUAAAAGCCCACCAAAUGACUCCUCCCACAAUAUUAUGAUGUUCCCCAAGUUUUGGACUCAAUCCGAUAUCUAUUGGUCCUUGAUAUCGGACAAUUCAGGUUCGUACGAAGUUCGUUCUGAAAUGGGGUGGUUGGUGUAUUGUAUAGUUCUGAAGAUUGGAUUUCACUCAAAACCCGCCAAAUGACUCCUCCCAGAAUAUUAUGAUGUUCCCAAACUUUUGGAUUCAAUCCGAUAUCGAUUGGUCCUUGAAAUCGGACAAUUCAGGUUCCUACGAGUUCGUUCUAAAAUGGGGUGGUUGGUGUAUUGUAUAGUUCUAGGGAUUGUAUUUCUCUCAAAACUUACCAAAUGACUCCUCCCACAAUAUUAUGAUGUUCCCCAAGCUUUGGACUCAAUCCGAUAUCUAUCGGUCCACGAAAUUUGACAAUUCAGGAUCGUACGAAGUUCGUUCUCAAAUGGAGUGGUUGGUGUAUUGUAUAGUUCUAGGGAUUGUAUUUCACUCAAAACCCACCAAAUGACUCCCCCCACAAUAUUAUGAUGUUCCCCAAGUUUUGGACUCAAUCCGAUAUCGAGUGGUCCACGAAAUUUGACAAUUCAGGUUCGUACGAAGUUCGACGAAAUGGGGUGGUUGGUGUACUGUAUAGUUCUAGAGACUGGAUUUCACUCAAAACCCCGCCAAAAGACUUCCUCCCGGAUAUUAUGAUGUUCCCCCACUUUUGGACUCAAUCAUAUAUCGAUGGGACCUUGAAAUCUGACAAUUCAAGGUUCCUAAGAAGUUCGUUCCGAAAAGGGGUGGUUGGUGUAUUGUAUAGUUCUAGAGAUUGGAUUUCACUCAAAACCCACCAAAUGACUCCUCCCACAGUAUUAUGAUGUUCCCCACGUUUUGGACUCAAUCAGAUAUCGAUCGGUCCACAAAAUUUGACAAUUCAGGGUCGUACGAAGUUCGUUCGGAAAUGGAGUUGUUGGUGUAUUGUAUAGUUCUAGGGAUUGCAUUUCACUCAAAGCCCACCAAAUGCCUCUUUCCCACAAUAUUAUGUUGUUCCCCAAGUUUUGGACUCAAUCCGAUAUCGAUUGGUCCUUGAAAUCGGACAAUUCAGGUUCGUACGAAGUUCGUUCUGAAAUGGGGUGAUUAGUGUAUUAAAUAGUUCUAGAGAUUGGAUUUCACUCAAAACCCACCAAAUGACUCCUCCCACAAUAUUAUGAUGUUCCCCAAGUUUUGGACUCAAUCCGAUAUCGAUUGGUCCUUGAAAUCGGACAAUUCAGGUUCGUACAAAGUUCGUUCUGAAAUGGGGUGGUUGGUGUAUUGUAUAGUUCUAGGGAUUGUAUUUCACUCAAAACCCACCAAAUGACUCCUCCCACAAUAUUAUGAUGUUCCCCAAGUUUUGGACUCAAUCCGAUAUCGAUUGGUCCUUGAAAUCGGACAAUUCAGGUUCGUACGAAGUUCGUUCAUAAAUGGGGUGGUUGGUGUAUUGUAUAGUUCUAGGGAUUGGAUUUCACUCAAAACCAACCAAAUGACUCCUCCCAAAAUAUUAUGAUGUUACCCAAGUUUUGGACUCAAU
rnacentral:lncRNA from 1 species